rnacentral:rRNA from 1 species
GAUGAACGCUGGCGGCGUGCCUAAUACAUGCAAGUCGAGCGAACAGACGAGGAGCUUGCUCCUCUGACGUUAGCGGCGGACGGGUGAGUAACACGUGGAUAACCUACCUAUAAGACUGGGAUAACUUCGGGAAACCGGAGCUAAUACCGGAUAAUAUAUUGAACCGCAUGGUUCAAUAGUGAAAGACGGUUUUGCUGUCACUUAUAGAUGGAUCCGCGCCGCAUUAGCUAGUUGGUAAGGUAACGGCUUACCAAGGCAACGAUGCGUAGCCGACCUGAGAGGGUGAUCGGCCACACUGGAACUGAGACACGGUCCAGACUCCUACGGGAGGCAGCAGUAGGGAAUCUUCCGCAAUGGGCGAAAGCCUGACGGAGCAACGCCGCGUGAGUGAUGAAGGUCUUCGGAUCGUAAAACUCUGUUAUUAGGGAAGAUCAAAUGUGUAAGUAACUAUGCACGUCUUGACGGUACCUAAUCAGAAAGCCACGACUAACUACGUG